rnacentral:tRNA from 1 species
AAUGAAGUGCCUGAAUAAAGGAUUACUUUGAUAGAGUAAAUAAUGUGUCCAACACCUUCAUUU